CCUACGGGUGGCAGCAGUGGGGAAUAUUGGACAAUGGGGGAAACCCUGAUCCAGCGACGCCGCGUGAGUGAAGAAUUAUUUCGGUACGUAAAGCUCUCUCAGCAGGAAAGAAAAUGACGGUACCUGACUAAGAAGCCCCGGCUAACUACGUGCCAGCAGCCGCGGUAAUACGUAGGGGGCAAGCGUUAUCCGGAUUUACUGGGUGUAAAGGGAGCGUAGCCGGCAGCGCAAGUCUGGAGUGAAAUGCCGGGGCCCAACCCCGGAACUGCUCUGGAAACGGUGAAGCUGGAGUGCAGGAGAGGUAAGCGGAAGUCCUGGUGUAGCGGUGAAAUGCGUAGAUAUCAGGAGGAACACCGGCGGCGAAGGCAGUUCACUGGACUGCAACUGACACUGAGGCUCGAAAGUGUGGGUAUCAAACAGGAUUAGAUACCCCUGUAGUC
rnacentral:rRNA from 1 species